rnacentral:misc_RNA from 1 species
GAUGAAGAACGUAGUGAAAUGCGAUAAGUAGUGUGAAUUGCAGAAUUCAGUGAAUCAUCGAAUCUUUGAACGCACAUUGCGCCUCCUGGUAUUCCGGGAGGCAUGCCUGUUCGAGCGUCAUUAAAAUCACUCAAGCUUAGGUUUACCUAUUGCUUGGUCUUGGAGAUGGAAGCCAAUUUAUUGGAAUCCUGUUCGAAAUUCAAUGGCGAAGACCCUUGCUCUCCCAAGUGUAGUAAUAACUUAUGUCACUGAAGGAAGCGAGAAAUCUUCUGCCGUAACCCCCAUAUUUUCUAUGAUUGACCUCGGAUCAGGUAGGGAUACCCGCUGAACUUAAGCAUAUCAAUAAGCGGAGGA